GAUGAACGCUGGCGGCGUGCCUAAUACAUGCAAGUCGAGCGAACUGAUUAGAAGCUUGCUUCUAUGACGUUAGCGGCGGACGGGUGAGUAACACGUGGGCAACCUGCCUGUAAGACUGGGAUAACUUCGGGAAACCGAAGCUAAUACCGGAUAGGAUCUUCUCCCUCAUGGGAGAUGAUUGAAAGAUGGUUUCGGCUAUCACUUACAGAUGGGCCCGCGGUGCAUUAGCUAGUUGGUGAGGUAACGGCUUACCAAGGCAACGAUGCAUAGCCGACCUGAGAGGGUGAUCGGCCACACUGGGACUGAGACACGGCCCAGACUCCUACGGGAGGCAGCAGUAGGGAAUCUUCCGCAAUGGACGAAAGUCUGACGGAGCAACGCCGCGUGAGUGAUGAAGGCUUUCGGGUCGUAAAACUCUGUUGUUAGGGAAGAACAAGUACGAGAGUAACUGCUCGUACCUUGACGGUACCUAACCAGAAAGCCACGGCUAACUACGUGCCAGCCGCCGCGGUAAUAC
rnacentral:rRNA from 1 species